rnacentral:lncRNA from 1 species
AUUUUCAAAAGACCCGAGUUCGAAUCUGCUGCCAACGAGCUUUUCACAUUCUCUCUCCGGAGAAAGAUUCACCUUUUUUUUUUCUUUGAGCUUUGGUAUGUUUUUUAGUCUCUCUCAGAAUUUAUUGAGAAUACAAUUUAAAAUUUAGCGAAACAAAACCUGAACCCAAGAAGGACAAGGCCAAAGAUUUCUACAACAAACUGAGCCUGAUGAAGCUAAGCUCGUAGGCGUUCCGCUUAUUUUUUUUUUUUGUUUUGAACUUCGUUCCACUUAUUUUGACGACGACUUGAUCGGUUUGAAUCCAUAUCUGGUAGUCCG